AGUUUUUUUAAAUCUUCACCCUGGCAGGAGUUUUUUCAAAAUGUUCGGUUUCAGUGACCUGGUGCAGCGCUUGCGUGAGGACGAACGGAACAAACCGCAGAGAAAAAGCUGCUGUUUUGAAAAUAACCGCGUUCGUGUGGACGGCCAAUGGGCGCGCGCGUUGAGCAUUCAAAUCACAUUUAAACUGAAGCUGAGGAGGUUACCAUGGUAACAGGGCGUCAACUCACUCAGCUGACAAGUCACGAGAAGCUGUCUCUCUGCUGUCUUCACUGCUUUCAGGUAAGUUUCGUCCCUAAAGUUACACAAAUAAUACAUACAACUGUUCCUGACACUUUCUUACAUGUUACUGACACGUUUCUGUUGAAUCUUUACUUUACAGGAGUGGUAUAGUGUCUUCAAAAAGACCGUUAGCAUCACAACCGUUAACUAUAGAGGCUAACAAUUAGAGGAGCGUCAGUAAAAAAUACCUAAAACAGGGGAAGUUACAAAACAAUUUGUAAUGUGAGCUGCUGACAGAGAUACAGGAAACACAGAGCUGGAGCGGAGCAGAUCUCCUGUCGAAGAACAUCUCCAAAGCACCAUGAACCAUCUGACUAGGCAGUUCGUGAAGACGGAUAACCUGGACAGAAGUCGGUUCCAGAUCCAGCCUCCACACCAGACUUCUCACUCACAAGGAUUGCUGUCUACUAGAUAUUAUGUGUACUCUUCAGACUUAGGUUCAUGCAGAUAUUAUUCAGGGACAUGAACACUUGAAUACUGCAAAAAUAGAGAAACUACCUUAUUUAAGAAUUUUGUGUUAAUUGCAUGAACAUUAAACAAAUAUAUUUAGUUUACUGUUUUUUGUUUUGUAUUCCAAAGCACCUAAAAGCCAAUUCACACUGCCAUACUCCAACAGGGUGAACACACUGACCAAGCAAAACAAAUAAGCAUGUUUUUAUAGUUUUUGUGAAAGUGUGAACUGACAAUGCUGUAUGUUAGGUGUGAGAUUCAUUCAACUUGGUUUGCUGAUUAAACAUGAUUAAAUAUUUGUUCAGAAUAUUUUGUUGUUGUUGUGACUAUUCAUCUAGGAGGGGUGUGUAUCAAGUGGC